UCUUUUUGGUCACUUUAUUUUGUUAAUAAUGUCAUCAGCAAUUUUCUCCUUUCCUCCUUUUCUUCCCUCUCUUCCUCUUUUCCUUUUCCCUCCCUCCCUCCCUCCCUCCCUCCCUCCUUCCUUCCUUCCUUCUUUCCUUCUUCUUCCUUCCUUCCUCUUCCAAAGUCUCUGCUCUUAAGGAGCAGGAGACACAUUCAAACAAGUUAAUACAAAUGUAAUAUCUGCAAGAUAAACUGGAGAUUAUCAACAGAGGGGUAGAUGUUUGCAUUAAGGGUAAUCAGGAAAGGUUCCUUUUAGAAAGAAGGUAGGAUUUUAGCUGGGACCUGAAGAAAGUUAAAGAAGCCAAGGAUUAAAGAUGGGGAGAGAGGGAAAGCAUUCUAGGGAAGGCAUGGGAGGACAGCUGGUCAAAAUUCUUGGACUUAGGAGGAAGAGUGGUCUGUGUGAAGAAUAGCAAAGAUGCCACUGUUAUUGGGUUUGUAGAAGAGGGGUGAUGAUACUAAGGUAUAUAAAGAUUGGAAAAGUAAAAGAUGCCAGGUUAUUAAGAACUGUAUAAGUCUGAGAAGGUUUUAUAUUUGAUACUGGAGGUGAUAGGGAAUCAUUGGAAAUUAUUGAAUGGGGGAGGUAUGUGUAAAAUGGUCAGACUUUUUGCCUUAGGAAGCUGAGUUUGACAGCUGCUUGAAUGAUAGAUUGGCAUGGGAAGAGAUUUAAGGUAGGGAGACCAAUCAGUAGUAUUACAAUAAUUGUCUAAGACUUUGCAAUAUUCCAGGUAUUAGGACUCCUGGAUGGUAGCCGUGUCAGAGGAAAGAAGGGGACAUAUGUGAGGUAUUACAACUCUAGAACUGACAGGAUUUGGCAACAGAAUGACUAGAGGUAUGUGUGAGAGAGUGAGGAAUCAAGGGAGGUGCCUAGGUUUUGAGCCUGCAUGACUGGGAAAUAUGGUGGUGCCUUGGACUAAAAUAGGAAAGGUAAGAAGAUCUACAGAAUAUUUUGAAUCUUUUGUUAUAUGUGACAUCUCAUCCUUUGGGAGACUGAACUCAUGAGUAGGAUUUUAGGCAUAGUUCAAAGAAGUGCUACAUUUAUAUCUUGAACACCUGUAGUAU
rnacentral:lncRNA from 1 species